rnacentral:misc_RNA from 1 species
ACUCCCAGCUUUUCUCUCAGCGGCACUCACUUCCCGUCUGCGAGGCAAGGCACCAAUGACAACGCGGGUGGAGCUGCGCAAAGUGCAGGUGCUGGGCCCGAACCCCAGCAAGUUCGACACCCCCAUUCGCUUGCACCUAGUGCUUGACGUGUUUGAAAAGCCACCUAAGGAUGCUAUCGACGUGACCUUCACCUGGUCGCCAGUGUGGGACUUCCCUGUAGACCAGGAGCUAGACGAGAUGGAGGUUGGCCCCUUCACAACGCUCGGCAGGCACGAGUUCACUAUUGAGAGCGAUCCCCCCAACGUGGCCGACAUCCCAGAUCCGACCGGUCCCACUGCCUUGAUCGUCUCACUCAAGUACCAGGGAGACGAAUUCCUCCACAUUGGGUACAACAUCACAGUCACCUGCGAGGGCGAUCUUCCAGAUGUCUUCACCUCAGCCGACAUGCUCACCCGCCACAUUGGUAAGUGCUACCCUAAACUGCGGGAUAUUUCCUGGGACGCACCGAGCCCGGCAACAGCCUCGCCCUCAGACUCGGACGCCGAUAGCACCUGCGAUAGCGCCGACAGCCCCUGCAAACGCGCGAAAAGAGAGAAUGAAGCGCGAUCAUAGACCUCCUCCACCGCAUCGCUUCCCGUGAAGCGCUCGUCAAUGGGUGCCGUUGCCCUGCACCCCUGUUUUAAAGCAGCUGCAUACACGGAACCGAGGACGUAAGCGGCCAGACUCUUGAGACGCGUGACUCCAUGGUCAUGAUGACUCAGAAGACUUUUUGCAACCUUGCCACCGGAUGUUUCGAAAGGCUGCCAUAACGUUUUCUGAGUUUCUCACACAACAUACGGCCACACAGCUAUCUGCAGAGGAAUACCUGUUCGUGGCAGCACCGGUGCCCUCCGAGGUUGCUGCUGAGACACUCAAGAUGUAGACUCAUAUCGUCGUCUGUUCGCCAAAAUAUCCACCGCGCGCGGGGAUGGGGGACGGAACGCAGCCCCACCUGGGUCUCAUCUCGACUACAACAAUCUUUGCUGCACAGUGGCUUUCUCUUGACGAAGCAGCAGCACGAGAAUAUGCGUGCCUACCUGACAGCGGUUCCCCAUGUUCGUUUGUUUGUUGGAGGCAGUGGCUCGCUCGGUUGAGAAGGUCCCCUGUGCCCCAAUGCCUCUACCACACAUAUCAUGCCAGCCGCGGUGGCAGACAUGAGGCACACCGGAAUUAGUGCAUCCGUGCUGUAAUCUUUUUCUAUCUUCAGCAGCGGCGUGGUCUUGUGCAAUGCGCAGAGUGACUUUGUAAUAC